rnacentral:rRNA from 1 species
CAAUAGCGUAUAUUAAAGUUGUUGCAGUUAAAAAGCUCGUAGUUGGAUUUGUGGCGUACGGUGUGUUCCGGGCACUUGUUGUCUGAGUAACCUGCUGUUGCCAUCCUUGGGUGGAACCUGUGUGGCAUUAGGUUGUCGUGCAGGGGAUGCCCAUCAUUUACUGUGAAAAAAUUAGAGUGUUCAAAGCAGGCUUAUGCCGUUGAAUAUAUUAGCAUGGAAUAAUGAGAUAGGACUUUUUUGCUAUUUUGUUGGUUUGCGCAAAGAGGUAAUGAUUAAUAGGGACAGUUGGGGGUAUUCGUAUCCAUUGUCAGAGGUGAAAUUCUUGGAUUUUUGGAAGACGAACUACUGCGAAAGCAUUUACCAAGGAUGUUUUCAUUAA